UGUCCACCAGAUUUGAACCAGCGACCUAAGGAUCACCAUUGUAAAAUCUACAGGCCUCCGCUCUGCCAACUGAGCUAUC